rnacentral:lncRNA from 1 species
GUGGAAACGAGAGACAUAUCAAUCCAGCUUGCGAACAACACAAUUCGAAACCCUGCGAUUCUUUUUAUUUUUUUGAUAUUUUUCUUUUACUAAGGAGCACUCAAGAAGUAACCACAGGAAAUUUGAGCUUAAACAAGUGAAAGACGUGGCCUGUGGAAUUUUUUGAAGAUUGUGAAAAAUAUGAAAAAAAUUUAGGAGGUGAAAACUCAAACUUCAGAGGCG